rnacentral:rRNA from 1 species
AGGGUUUGAUUAUGGCUCAGAACGUACGCUGGCGGCACGCCUAACACAUGCAAGUCGAACGAAGUAGCAAUACUUAGUGGCAGACGGGUGAGUAACAUGUAGGUAUCUGCCCUUUGGCCUGGAAUAACACGAGGAAACUUGUGCUAAUACCGGAUAAGUCUUUACGGAGAAAGCUUUAUGCACCAUUGGAUGAGCCUGCACUUGAUUAGUUUGUUGGUGGGGUAAUGGCCUACCAAGACUGUGAUCAAUAGCUGAUUUGAGAGGAUGAUCAGCCACAUUGGGACUGAGACACGGCCCAAACUCCUACGGGAGGCAGCAGUGGGGAAUCUUGCACAAUGGAGGAAACUCUGAUGCAGCGAUGCCGCGUGAGUGAAGAAGGCCCUUGGGUUGUAAAGCUCUUUCGUCGGGGAAGAAAAUGACUGUACCCGAAUAAGAAGGUCCGGCUAACUUCGUGCCAGCAGCCGCGGUAAUACGAAGGGACCUAGCGUAGUUCGGAAUUACUGGGCUUAAAGAGUUCGUAGGUGGUUGAAAAAGUUAGUGGUGAAAUCCCAGAGCUUAACUCUGGAACUGCCAUUAAAACUUUUCAGCUAGAGUAUGAUAGAGGAAAGCAGAAUUUCUAGUGUAGAGGUGAAAUUCGUAGAUAUUAGAAAGAAUACCAAUUGCGAAGGCAGCUUUCUGGAUCAUUACUGACACUGAGGAACGAAAGCAUGGGUAGCGAAGAGGAUUAGAUACCCUCGUAGUCCAUGCCGUAAACGAUGUGUGUUAGACGUUGGAAAUUUAUUUUCAGUGUCGCAGGGAAACCGAUAAACACACCGCCUGGGGAGUACGACCGCAAGGUUAAAACUCAAAUGAAUUGACGGGGACCCGCACAAGUAGUGGAGCAUGUGGUUUAAUUCGAAGAUACGCGCAGAACCUUACCAACACUUGACAUGUUCGUCGCGACUCUAAGAGAUUAGAGUUUUCGGUUCGGCCGGACGAAACACAGGUGCUGCAUGGCUGUCGUCAGCUCGUGUCGUGAGAUGUUGGGUUAAGUCCCGCAACGAGCGCAACCCUCACUUUUAGUUGCCAUCAUUAAGUUGGGCACUCUGAAAGAACUGCCAGUGAUAAGCUGGAGGAAGGUGGGGAUGACGUCAAGUCCUCAUGGCCCUUACGUGUUGGGCUACACACGUGCUACAAUGGUAUCUACAACAGGAAGCAAGACUGCGAAGUUAAGCAAAUCCCUAAAAGAUACCUCAGUUCGGAUUGCACUCUGCAACUCGAGUGCAUGAAGCUGGAAUUACUAGUAAUCGUGGAUCAGCGUGCCACGGUGAAUGCGUUCCCGGGUCUUGUACACACCGCCCGUCACACCAUGGGAGUUGGUUCUACCUUAAGGCAAGGUUUCAAACCCUUGACCACGGUAUAGUCAGCGACUGGGGUGAAGUCGUAACAAGGUAGCCAAUCG